rnacentral:rRNA from 1 species
AAUGAAUGCUGGCGGCAGGCCUAACACAUGCAAGUCGAACGGAUCCUUCGGGAUUAGUGGCGGACGGGUGAGUAACGCGUGGGAACAUACCCUUUGGUACGGAAUAGCCUCGGGAAACUGGGAGUAAUACCGUAUGUGGUCGAGAGACGAAAGAUUUAUCGCCAAAGGAUUGGCCCGCGUUGGAUUAGGUAGUUGGUGGGGUAAUGGCCUACCAAGCCGACGAUCCAUAGCUGGUUUGAGAGGAUGAUCAGCCACACUGGGACUGAGACACGGCCCAGACUCCUACGGGAGGCAGCAGUGGGGAAUCUUGGACAAUGGGGGAAACCCUGAUCUAGCCAUGCCGCGUGAUCGAUGAAGGCCUUAGGGUUGUAAAGAUCUUUCAGGUGGGAAGAUAAUGACUGUACCACCAGAAGAAGCCCCGGCUAACUCCGUGCCAGCAGCCGCGGUAA